rnacentral:rRNA from 1 species
CUAGCAUAUCAAUAAGCGGAGGAAAAGAAACCAACAGGGAUUGCCUCAGUAACGGCGAGUGAAGCGGCAACAGCUCAAAUUUAAAAUCUGGCCUUCCCGAGGCCCGAGUUGUAAUUUGUAGAGGGUGCUUUGGCAUUGGCCCCAGUCUAAGUUCCUUGGAACAGGACGUCAUGGAGGGUGAGAAUCCCGUAUGUGGCUGGUGGCCUUUGCCCUGUAAAGUCCCUUCAACGAGUCGAGUUGUUUGGGAAUGCAGCUCUAAAUGGGAGGUAAAUUUCUUCUAAAGCUAAAUAUUGGCCAGAGACCGAUAGUGCACAAGUAGAGUGAUCGAAAGAUGAAAAGCACUUUGGAAAGAGAGUGAGACAGCACGUGAAAUUGUUGAAAGGGAAGCGCUUGCAGCCAGACUUGCCCGCUGUUGCCCCGCCUGGCUUCUGCAAGGCGGACUCUCCAGCGGGCAGGCCAGCAUCAGUCUGGGCGGUCGGACAAAGGCCCUGGGAAUGUGGCUCCCUUCGGGGAGUGUUAUAGCCUGGGGCGCCACGCGACCAGCCGGGACUGAGGCCUGCGCAUCUGCUAGGAUGCUGGCGUAAUGGCUGCAAGCGGCCCGUCUUGAAACACGGACCAAGGAGUCUAACAUCUAUGCGAGUGUUUGGGUGUGAAGCCCUGGCGCGCAAUGAAAGUGAAUGGAGGUGGGAACCCUACCUUGGGUGCACCAUCGACCGAUCCUGAUGUUUUCGGAUGGAUUUGAGUAAGAGCAUAGCUGUUGGGACCCGAAAGAUGGUGAACUAUGCCUGAAUAGGGUGAAGCCAGAGGAAACUCUGGUGGAGGCUCGCAGCGGUUCUGACGUGCAAAUCGAUCGUCGAAUUUGGGCAUAGGGGCGAAAGACUAAUCUAACCAUCUAGUAGCUGGUUCCUGCGA